rnacentral:misc_RNA from 1 species
AAAGGAUUUCUUUUUCUUAGUACUUUCAAAAUCUGUUUAUGGGUAAAAGAGUCAAUAAAAGGUUAGAUAGAUAAAACAAGAGUCGUUAGCAAACUCACCAAUCAGGAAAAUGAGAAGAAACACUGAGAAAACUAUUCGAACAGGUCGACGAUAUUGCAUGUAAUACUGAGAUCUUUGCAGCUGGCGCUGAACGGCACCAUACCAACCAUACAGUUGCUUAUCAUAACAAUCAUCACAACCAUCAAGGCAACUCUUAUUCCUAUCAUAGCAUGUGUUUGUGUUCCUUGUUGGUGGCUGAGAACGCGGCAAUGUAUUGUCAGCUUCUUGAUUGAACUUCAACUUCCGGUAACCAUUCUUGGGCCAUUUUAACUCCUUAACAGAUUCCACGGCAUUCAACAAUCCCUGGUAACUUGGUAUUCUGCGAGGAGGGGAUGCAGGUUCUUUGAUGGAAAUAUCAUUGCCAAGUGCAAUCUGCCAUGCACCAAUGUCAGCACUAGCACUUGCUGUUCUCCGAUGGCCUAAAAACUUCUCGUCUAUGGCCUCACCUAGAACACCUUCCUCCGAAUGAGGAGGAUUCUGGGAACACUCAAGAAGUGAUUGAUUUACAUUCUCUUCCCACUUGGGAACUUGCAGCUCCACUCCAUGUACUUUUGCAUGGGUUAUGCCUGCAGAAGAGGUGGAUGGGCCAGAGAGAAAUGCAGCAAGUUCAUCGACUUCUCCCUCAUCCAACCGCACCCAUGGAAGUGGUGGUUUGCCUUGUGAAACAGCUGAUUCAUUAAGAGAUUUCUCAACUUUCCUAAUUUGAUUGUCGAUUGCAAUAAAAAAUUCAUGGUGUCUAUCUCUUGCAUCGUCAGCAGAUUUACUAUUGUAGCUCGAUCUGACUGCCCGGUCAAAUUCCUCCAGCUGCCAUUUAGCAGUGCCAAGGGUAGUUCUAAGGUCCCUGCGAAGCGCAUCACAAUUCCAACUACCAGAAGUAUCUUUCAAUGCAUGAAUCCACGUCCUAUAAGUUGAUUCCAUUCUGUCGGCAGAUUCUUGAACCUCUUCUGCAGCUGAAAAGAACGGAUCUUUCUCCCACCUAUCAAAAUGCGACGCCAUAUCUUCCAAGUUUUACUUUCUCCUGCUAUUUAUCACCAAAAAAAUGAACAAAAACACCCAAUAAUAACUCUUCCCAGGUUAAAAAACCAUCGAAAAAUGAACGAAUCCAAGCGUAUCUUCGAUUUGAGAUCAAACCCAGAUUCAAUAAAUCCUCUCUCGUUUAUUUUUUGCAGGUACUUUACCAACAAAAUGGACAAAAGAAAA